GACGAACGCUGGCGGCGUGCUUAACACAUGCAAGUCGAGCGGUAAGGCCCUUUCGGGGGUACACGAGCGGCGAACGGGUGAGUAACACGUGGGUGACCUGCCCUCAGCUCUGGGAUAAGCCUGGGAAACCGGGUCUAAUACUGGAUAUGACUCCAUGACGCAUGUUGUGGGGUGGAAAGCCUUGUGCGGCUGAGGAUGGGCCCGCGGCCUAUCAGCUUGUUGGUGGGGUGANGGCCUACCAAGGCGACGACGGGUAGCCGGCCUGAGAGGGCGACCGGCCACACUGGGACUGAGACACGGCCCAGACUCCUACGGGAGGCAGCAGUGGGGAAUCUUGCGCAAUGGGCGAAAGCCUGACGCAGCGACGCCGCGUGAGGGAUGACGGCCUGUGUAAC
rnacentral:rRNA from 1 species